rnacentral:rRNA from 1 species
UGGAGAGUUUGAUCCUGGCUCAGGACGAACGCUGGCGGCGUGCCUAAUACAUGCAAGUCGAGCGGACUUAUCCUUCGGGAUAGGUUAGCGGCGGACGGGUGAGUAACACGUAGGCAACCUGCCUGUAAGAUCGGGAUAACUACCGGAAACGGUAGCUAAGACCGGAUAGCUGGUUUCUCCGCAUGGGGGAAUCAUGAAACAUGGGGCAACCUAUGGCUUACGGAUGGGCCUGCGGCGCAUUAGCUAGUUGGUGGGGUAAUGGCCCACCAAGGCGACGAUGCGUAGCCGACCUGAGAGGGUGAUCGGCCACACUGGGACUGAGACACGGCCCAGACUCCUA